ensembl:lncRNA
GUCAAAGUGGUUUUACCUUUGGUUAACAAUUUAAUCUGCUGCUUUAACAUUGCAUGCUGUCUACCAGCCCUGUUAUAGAGGAGAUGAAAUCUCCAUUCAGUGUCAUGAUCUUUUGCCCAGUCUUUCACAUUGUGACCUUUGAAAUGAGACACCUGAUCACUGUCUAGUCGAUGACGGUAUCUAUUUGGUACUCACUCAGUUUCUCUUAAUCCCUUAAUGGUGGCAGCCUGGUUUGUGCAGUGACAGGAAAGCUUGGGUUAGGCCAGAUGCAGUGUCCACACAAACCAAGGCAUUUUAGAACCCUUUCUCAGAGGGAGGGAGUCUAUUAUCAACUUGACAAUCCCUCACCACUUGGGAACUCCAGUGGAUGGCCCCAGACCCCUUUGACAGCUGCCUUGGACAUUGCAUAGAACACACAGGACAUGCUGUUACUGCAUUAACCAAGUCACUGCAUUUCAAGGGCAAUCCAGCAUCUUUGGCAAUAUAGCAUUCCACCUGGAUGCUAUGGUAAUGGCUUUUCCUGUGCACUCAAUCAGUUGUAUCUACUGAAGGGUCAGUUACUAGGUCACAUACCUGAGCUAGGGAAUCAGCUUCCUGAUUGCCAAGGAGUGUCAGUGCCUUGCGAGCUGGGAUCUGGAAGACAGUAAACAUGGACUCAGGCUCUUGCAGGUGAGCCCAAAUGUCUUCAUAUAUCCUGACUCCACAAGGGCUUAUUCAUGAUUAUCUACCCCUCAGCUUUUCAUUGUUCAAGUCAUAGAGUUAACCCCUUUAGAACAGCCCAAUUGUCAAUGCACAGGACUAAUGGCCAGGCAUCAUGAGUGAUCACCAGCUGAACUGCUCUGAGUUCAGCCCACUGAACACUUCCCAAGGAGCAUAUGAUUUAGUCUGGGGCAAGGCCAAGGAAUCUAUUUUUACUAUACUCAACUGUAUUGCCCUCAUAUCACCAGCAAAUUAAACCAAUAUCAUGUGUGUUAAUAUCCACUUAAUGACACCAAUCGUAAAAUACAUAACUAAUGGGAAUUUGCUGUAUGACUCGGGGAACUCAAACAGGGGCUCUGUGACAAUCUAGAAGGG